UUGUGAAGUAUUACUGUUGCAAGAUGCAAUGAGAUAAUGCAGGUAAAGCGAUCAGCAUAGUGCCAGCACAUAAUAAUGUGAACUACUUUUAUUAUUAUUACUAAUACUUUGUGGGGUAGUCCCCAGCAAACUGCACAAUUCACAGCCUUCCUCCAGCCUAUGAAUCGGGAUAUCUCUUCCUAGCUGGCAGAAUCAUCCUGAUGCUUGGAGAUUUCCACUUAAGAGGAACACGCAUUACCAGCUUCAUCGUCAGGACUCAGGUGGGCAAGCUGACGGUGGUCAGGCUGCAGCAGACACUUUUAGUUGCAUGUAAAUUAUCUAGGUGCCCUUUCCUAAUUAUAGCAGAAACUCACUUUCUUCUCUUUUAAAAAUUCUUCCCUGUAUGGGAAUUUUUCUUUCAUGCUAUAUUCUCCUCUUGGUGUCUUGUCUAAUUUUCCUUUUUUCUCCCCUCCCAUCUAUUGCUCAACUGAGGUGUGAAAGAAGUUGAAAUCCACCUGUAAACCUGGGGGUGCCACAUCCCUUCAUUUAUUCACUCACUGUUUCACUCAACAAACAUUCACUGAGGAUUACUCUGUAAAUGGCCACGUACUGGGUGCUGAGGACAAAACAGGUGAAGGCCACUGCCAUUCAUAUGGCUACACUGUUCUGUCCCCUUUCGGUCCCUGCCCUUGAAAGUUCCCAAUUCUUGCUGACCUCCUGGAAAAGCCUAGUGAAAUAACACCAAAUAACGGUGAGAUAAUUUCCCUUCAAGACUUUCACUAGGUCAGUUGUUCUAACCUUUUUAGGAGGCAAAAGGAAUAGAGAGAGGGAGGCAGCCAGCCAGGAUUAUUUGCUGCAUUUUAGAUAGGAAAGCUAAGUUCCAGAGAGGGGAGGGAAGGCAAGAGAGGGAAAGGAACUCAACUAUUUAAUAGAGUCAGGCCUUGUGCCUUUUUAUUCUCAUACAUGCCUUCUGAGGUGGGUAUUUUUAUCAUCAUUUUACAUGGGCAAAAACUGACACUUAGGUUAAGGAGCUCAUCCAAGUCACCCAAUCUAUAGGUGGCAGAGCUGGGCUUAAAACACAGGUGUGAUCUUGGAACUAAGCUUUCAACCUGCUGACUCAGCAACUGCACUGCAGGUCAGUAGUGGAUUUGGGAACCUCCUGCUUCCCAAUCCUCUGCCUGGUCUUCUAGGCCAACAGUUUUACAACUUGGACACGCAUCAGAAUCACCUGGAGGGCCUGUGAAAACACAUAACGCUGAGCCGUACCCCCAGUUUCUGAUUCAGUAGGUCUAGGGUGGGGCUGAGAAUUUGCAUUUUUUAACUAGUUCCCAGGUGAUGAUGAUGAUGAUGGUCCACGGACCACGGUUUGAGAACACUGUUCUAGGUGUUCUCUUUCAAAAUGACUUCCUCUCUUCACCUUAACGAUUCCAAAGGUAACACAGGUUUGUAAAAUACAACAAAUAUAUAAAAUGUAGAACCUACAGAAAAAUAGGUAGAAUGGAAUUCAUCCACAUUCUUCUGCUCAGAAAUAACCACUCUUAACAGUUUGGCAUAUCCCCUCUGUCUUCUUUUCAGAGGCUAAGCACAGAGGAAGCGGGUGGCCUAUGGCUGCUCCGCUAAGACCCGGUUAAGAUCCCAGUGCUUCCGUGAGACCUAGGGCAAGCCUGAACCAAGUCUGGGUCCCCUCUUCAGCAAAACUGCAUUUACACUCCCAUCCCACAUUAGUUUGUUGGGAGGGUUUAAAGAAGAGCGUGUAUUUAUCAAGCACUCGACACAAUGUCAGAUGCGGAGUCAGCGCUCCAUAAAUGUUGGCUGUCAUUUUUGUUCUAACGUAAGAGAAAGCUGGAUGAUCCCAUUUGGGUUUCAGCCCCGUUUUCCCUCUUCACUCCUCCGGUGGUUCAGUGGGAGCUCUGCCGACCGACCGCCUGGCUGCGGCCACUCACUGCUGGGACUGCGCGGCCUGCCCGCUCCCAGCAGCUGGCGGACCCACGGGACCCCCGCGCGGCCCGGGCCGCCGCCGUUAGGGUUGGCUCAAGCCUCUCGGCCCAGUCCGCCAGUUUUAUAGCCCGAACUCAAAGAGGGCUUUUAACUUUUCGUUCAGCAGCAGCGUAGCUCCGACUUUUAAUAACACACCUCGUGCACGACAAAAAUUUGCUCCUGGCAAUCAUGGUUUCGACCACAAAACCACAGCAGGGAGGCGUUCCCGAUUAACUCUUUCAGUGCUCCAGGCAGUCUGGAGCCGGCGCUCCUGGAGAUCAGAUAGAACGGAGGCGGCGGCCGCGGUCAGGACUGCGACGGUUCUAGUCCCCUUCCCCCAACCGAGUCGCGUCUCUGCGAGGCUGGGGGGAGACUCCAGGCGGCAGCGGUGGGGCCCAGAGAGCACGGAGCGAGGCCGCAGGGGACGCUCCUGCCUCGGUGCCUUAGACCUACUGUGUGCCAAGCCCCUUUGCUCCAGAGGGGAACAAGAGGUCACCGGCGAGGUCGCCUGCGGCUGCAGCUCGCCGGGGGCCCCGACGCACCUUCAGGAAAACCCGACGCCGGGCAGCUCGCGGGCGCCAGCUGUUUUCCUGCGAGACCCAGGCGGUCCGCGGCGACUUCCGGCGCCCUCGGCCGCAGCCCAGGAUCCCUUGCGCCCUGCGGUAGCCCGGGGCUGCCCAGGGCUGCGGGCUCCAGGCACCCAGAGCGCUGUGACCACAUGAAAGGCCCGGCGCUCAGCACCCGCCAGCCACCUCCAGCUGGUUUCUAACUACACCGCCGGGGCCUCCAUGCUUCUCAGGGACCAGCCUUCGAAGUGCCGCCUUACACCCGGGGCCUGGCCACCGGGCGGGCGCAGAUGGAGCUCUGGUCCACAUUUGGGAGCUCACAGUUGUUCCUGCCAGAUGUGGAAGCUGAGACUUAAAGAAGCUAUGAAACUUGAUCAGGUCAUGCAGCGCCAGAGGACCCAAGCUGGGAUCUCAACCCAGACUGUUCGGCUCCAAAGCUGAACUGCUACAUUAUGUUGCUUCAGCAAACAGUCAUUCAGAACCUCAGCUACCGCCACGACUUUGUGUGCAAACCUGUCUGAAGCCUGUUGGUGAAGCUCUCUGCCCAGCUAUGAAGAGGCACAGAUCUGCCUGCCUUCCUUGGAAGGCUCCGACUCUUUUUCUGGAAGGCCUACCUUCUCAUCCUUUGGCAGUUGGGGAACUGAAGCACAGUGAGGGAGAUGAGCGUGCCAUACAAUGAGAGGACAGAGCUCAGUGCUCUUCACUCAUCUGCCUGUGGGAAAGAGGCCAGUUCUAGGGGUGGGGAUCGCGAAGGAGCACCCUACCUCCCUGUCCUUUUCACAUCCCAUGGCCAAUAGCCAUGUACUUUUUCCUCCUCUUUCUCUUGCCCAGCAAAUACAGGCUCCAGCUGCAGCCACUUUGAAGAUAAAGUUUUCUCCAUAGAAAUUCUGCAGUACAGAUGUCCUUCGACGGUCCCAGUUCAGUCCUGCACCAGUUGCUUUUCCCACUGGGAAAUUUCUUUCCUCUUCCUACUUGCAUGCAACUGCGAGGCAAGGCUCAAGCCCCGCUUCCUUCUCCUUUUCCUGUGCCUCCCUGUGGAAGGAGCUCCCUCUUCUUCACAGCUCCAGGCUCUUCCCUACUCUGGCCCAACCUUAUGGGCAUUUUGCUCCAUAACUCUCCUCGAUCUGAACCGCUUCUGAUUUCUCUCAAGUCAUGUCGGGGAAUCUCACAAAUGCAUUCUGAGAAAUACAAGAAUGCCUGAGAUGUUCCAGGCAGAAAAGAUUCCAGGAUCAAAACAUUUGGGAAAAGCUUCAUACCUCUUCUUAGAAAUGAACAAGGCAUAGUCAUCAAGCCUCUGAAAAGUCCUGCAGUCAGGAAACCUGCUUUGUUUGUUUUUUAACCCAGUAUUUCCCAAACUAAGAUGGCCAUGAUUUCAUCUCCUCCAUCCCCACUGACUCCUAUAACAACCUGUAGAACCAGUGAUCCACUGUGGAACACACUUUGGGAAACACUGUCCCCAGCCCUCCAGGAAGGCAUAGAGUUGACCUUGCCUUCAUUUAUUUAAACCCUUCCUGUUUCUCUGGGCUAUUUACUUAUUAUCUCACAUAAAAAAUAAUCUAAGGUGAUGUCUGCCCAAUUGGGUUUUUAGGAAAGACAUACCCGAUGGGAAUGAAGAUUUUCUUAGCAGGAUUUGAUGAGCCCAUUACUAGAAAAAAAAUCAAGGAUUUCCCAGACUUUUGGGGUGAGGAGAGAAUUUGAUACAACCAGCAGAGGCUGGGCACAGCGACCCACGCCUAGCACUUUGAUAGGCCAAGGAGGGAGGAUUGCUUGAACCCAGGAAUCCAAGACCAGCCUGGGCGACAUAGUAAGAUCCCAUCUCAAUUUUUUAAAAAAGGAUUUAUCAAACUUGUUUCCCAGUCAACGGAUAAAGCCGGAGAUGUAAUGGCCAGAAACCCAAAAUCUAGAGUUCAGUACCAGAUAAAUACUUUUUGGGUGAAUAAAUGAAUGAUCACAAAGUUGGCAGACAUUGUGAAUGAAUGGAUGAAUUAAUAAACAAUCAAAUAACUGGUCUCCAGGCCUCCAGACUUCCUGAACUUCAUUGUAUCUACCUGCUGUGGCCGCAUAUAUGUCUUCUCAAAACCCAGAUCUCAUCAGUCCACUUUUCUGUUCCCUGGCUGGCUCCCUGUUGCCUUCAGGAUAAAGUCUACACGCCUUUGUCCUGGCAUUUAAAACUCUGCAAAACAAAGCUCCAACCUAGCUUUCCAUCCUUCUUUCUCUUCCCCAUUGGGUACCCCUUACUCUAGUCACACCAGUCCCCAAUUCACUUUAUCUGUCUCCUUUUCUUUCUCGAGCUAUUCCCUAUACCUCACCUUUUCUACCCUGCCUGCAUGGUUGCUUAUUCAAUCCUAGCAGUGCUUUCAGGCUCAGCUCAAACUUUAUCACCCAUGUUAAAUGAAAGAAGCCAGACACAAGAAGGGGGACAUUCUGAAUGAUUCCAUUUAUAUGAAGGUUAAGAACAGGCAAAACUAUUGUGGGGAAAAAACAGAACUGUGGUUGCCUUUGGGGAGUGAGGAUUGAUUAGAAGGGGUUUUGGGGGUAUGAAAAUGUUCUUGAUCUUCAUUCCAGUGGUAGUUUCGUGGGUGAAUACAUUUGCCAAAAUUCAUUGAAUUGUACACUAAAGAUCUGCAUUUCUCUGUAUUGUUAAUUUCAUCUAAAAAUAAAAAUCUUACCACCCAGAUCUCCCUGGC